GUGGGGAAUUUUGGACAAUGGACGAAAGCCUGAUCCAGCCAUGCCGCGUGAGUGAAGAAGGCCUUCGGGUUGUAAAGCUCUUUUAGUCGGAAAGAAAGAGUUGCAAUGGAUAAUUGUGAUUUAUGACGGUACCGACAGAAAAAGCACCGGCUAACUACGUGCCAGCAGCCGCGGUAAUACGUAGGGUGCGAGCGUUAAUCGGAAUUACUGGGCGUAAAGGGUGCGCAGGCGGUCUUGCAAGUCAGAUGUGAAAGCCCCGGGCUUAACGUGGGAAUUGCGUUUGAAACUACAAGGCUAGAGUGCAGCAGAGGGGAGUGGAAUUCCAUGUGUAGCAGUGAAAUGCGUAGAGAUGUGGAAGAACACCGAUGGAGAAGGCAGCUCCCUGGGUUGACACUGACGCGCAUGCACGAAAGCGUGGGGAGCAAACA
rnacentral:rRNA from 1 species